GAAUCAGGCUGACACUGGGCUCCGGCUGAGAGCACAUCCCUAUCCAGCUCCUUUCUCUGCCACUUCCCUCACCCCUCACCGGCUGAGAACACACCCUCAAUCAAGCACAAGCCCAUGAAUCCCCAUGUCUGACUUCUGGGCAACCCCACUUAAAACCAAGAUAUAAAUAUCAUUAAAAAUUAACAAGCCUUUUCACUGUCAGCCAGUUGUCAACCACAGGUGGUACAGACAGCAGUUAGUCCUAAUGCGUAGAAGAAAGCAGCUUAUUAAUGAUUAAGAGACUAACCUUUGGGGCCCAGCAUCCUGGGGCCCAAAUCAUAACUCUGACCCAUACCAGGUGAGCGAUCUCAGCUAAAUUACAUAAACUCUCCAAGCUCCAACUCCUCCUGUGAUAAAUACUGAAAAUAAUAUCCGAACCUUAGCACUGCUGAGGAAAUAAAAAUGAGGUGACGUUUAUCUGAAGAGCUUAGUAUACAGAGUGAUGACGGCACUGUGGACACGGUCACCUCUAUCUUACGACAAACCAGGUCAUUCAAGGUACACCAAAGAAGCACAACGCCGAGUUUCCAAUGCCUGGGAAAGUUUUCCUUAGAGGAGGAGGAAUCCAGGAGUGAGGACAAAAAUAAGAAGUUCGCGCAUCUCCUGCUAAUGGAAACCUCAUCCAAUAAUCUCCUCUCAUCUAAUACUGAUAAAGACAUCAAAUGCUCCACACGGCACAGAGGGAAUUUCAAUCUGAGACCAUAGGUGCUGCUCAGAAAUGAAGGCUGAGGCGAGAAAUGCACCAGAGGGUCACUGGCGCAAAAGGACUCAAGACGUGCGACGUCCAACUGGGUAACACUGGCCCCCUGAGCUCCUGAAUGGUGGCUGCUGCAGAUCCACGUGUGCUCGGAGACUGAAAUACACGCGAGAUUGGGAAGGCCAGCUACAAUUUACAACAAGAAACGGAUCAGGGGAGUUCCCAUCUUGGUCCAGCGCUAACGAACCCAACUAGUAUCCCUGAGGCUGAGGGUUCAAUCCCUGGACACACUCCGGGGGUUGGGGAUCUGGCAUUGCCAUGAGCUGUGGUGUAGGUUGCAGACACAGGUCAGAUCUGAAGUUGCUGUGGCUGUAACUCCGAUUCAACCCCUAGCCUAGGAACCUCCACAUGCCAUGGGU
rnacentral:lncRNA from 1 species